rnacentral:rRNA from 1 species
UACGGAGGGGGCUAGCGUUGUUCGGAAUUACUGGGCGUAAAGCGUACGUAGGCGGCUUUUUAAGUCAGAGGUGAAAGCCCACGACUCAAUCGUGGAACUGCCUUUGAGACUGGAUCGCUUGAAGAUGGGAGAGGUUAGUGGAAUUCCGAGUGUAGAGGUGAAAUUCGUAGAUAUUCGGAAGAACACCAGUGGCGAAGGCGGCUAACUGGACCAUUCUUGACGCUGAGGUACGAAAGCGUGGGGAGCAAACAGA